GCAGGCCUAAUACAUGCAAGUCGAACGGCAGCGGGGGGUAGCUUGCUACCUCGCCGGCGAGUGGCGGACGGGUGAGUAAUGCCUGGGGAGCUGCCCAAUCGAGGGGGAUACCAGUUGGAAACGACUGCUAAUACCGCAUACGCCCUGAGGGGGAAAGGUGGGGAUCUUCGGACCUACCGCGAUUGGAUGCGCCCAGGUGGGAUUAGCUAGUUGGUGAGGUAACGGCUCACCAAGGCGACGAUCUCUAGCUGGUCUGAGAGGAUGACCAGCCACACUGGAACUGAGACACGGUCCAGACUCCUACGGGAGGCAGCAGUGGGGAAUAUUGCACAAUGGGGGAAACCCUGAUGCAGCCAUGCCGCGUGUGUGAAGAAGGCCUUCGGGUUGUAAAGCACUUUCAGUCAGGAGGAAAGGUGGCUAGCUAAUACCUAGUUGCUGUGACGUUACUGACAGAAGAAGCACCGGCUAACUCCGUGCCAGCAGCCGCGGUAAUACGGAGGGUGCAAGCGUUAAUCGGAAUUACUGGGCGUAAAGCGCACGCAGGCGGCUUGUUAAGUCAGAUGUGAAAGCCCCGGGCUCAACCUGGGAACUGCAUUUGAAACUGACAAGCUAGAGUCUUGUAGAGGGGGGUAGAAUUCCAGGUGUA
rnacentral:rRNA from 1 species